UACGGGGGGGGCAAGCGUUGUUCGGAAUUACUGGGCGUAAAGGGCUCGUAGGCGGCCAACUAAGUCGGAUGUGAAAUCCCCAGGCUUAACCUGGGAACUGCAUCCGAUACUGGAUGGCUUGAAUCCGGGAGAGGGAUGCAGAAUUCCAGGUGUAGCGGUGAAAUGCAUAGAUAUCUGGAGGAAUACCGGUGGCGAAGGCGGCAUCCUGGACCGGCAUUGACGCUGAACAGCGAAAGCUAGGGGAGCAAACGGG
rnacentral:rRNA from 1 species